GGCCGGACCAUUACGGUUCGCUACGAGUCGGCGGCAACGAGCAAAUAUGGGGACAUACGAGAAGGGCGAAGUUAAUAAAAUACUAGAAAAAUAGCGAAUAGUUAGUAGUGGCUAAGUGCAUAUAAGCGACAAGGCGAAAUAAUGUCAAUGUAGCAUAAGUGAGAUUCGUAUUCAGGGCUCUAGCUUACCGCUCAGUGUUCAGUGUAUCCAACGUGCAUGUCCAUGUGUGUCAGUUCCGUUAGUAAUCUGACGUGUUCUAAAGAAAAAAAACAAAACCGCGGGGGCACAUAAAUAUUAAUUAAACGCUCAGACGCGUCCCUUACAUCCGUUCGCGCUUCUGCUCACGGUUUCCUUCAUCUAAUCAGCGUCAUAAUCAGCAAUAUCCGCUGUGAUAGAUAGAAAAAAGAUCCGGAAUGUGCAUCAUGGGAAAAAUUACAAUGGAGCGCCAUCGGUGUCCCAGCCGCAACGGUAGCAUAACCGGAGAAUGAAGCCGUCACUAAUGAGAGUAUUGAAACAAUAGCAAAUCCAGAGGAGAGCAGUGCUUCACCUUUAACGCCGGAAACCAAUACCUUUUUCAACUUUCACGCCAGCAUAAAAGUUCGAGAAGAAUCAAUUGCUAAUAACAAAUAUUUGGCUCAAAUUGAGCCAUGAAGGAUGGUCUCUUUGAGGCUAAGAAAUUAUGUGACCCGCUAUUACUCACUGAAUAAGUCACAGGGCCAAUGAAUAGAGUCAGGAUUAAAUGCAAAAAAUAUGAAUUCACAUAUUUUUGGGUGUUCGACUUCAUCAGACUACCGCUGAGAUAAGGCGAGCAACAGCUGAGGCAGGGACUAUGAGGUGUGCACCUGGAAAGACAAGAAUUUACAGUUACCGAUUGCACUUUCAUAAAGGCUUAGGACACACUGGUCACUGGUUGUUGGCUAUAAGACUUAAGAUGGCACUGAAAAAAAUGCAGUUUAAUGUAUUAAUUAUAAUAUGUACAUAUGUGUGUAUGU